rnacentral:rRNA from 1 species
ACGGCGAGUGAAGCGGCAAAAGCUCAAAUUUGAAAUCCCCCGGGAAUUGUAAUUUGAAGAGAUUUGGGUCCGGCCGGCGGGGGUUAAGUCCACUGGAAAGUGGCGCCACAGAGGGUGACAGCCCCGUGAACCCCUUCAACGCCCUCAUCCCAGAUCUCCAAGAGUCGAGUUGUUUGGGAAUGCAGCUCUAAGUGGGUGGUAAAUUCCAUCUAAAGCUAAAUACCGGCGAGAGACCGAUAGCGAACAAGUACAGUGAUGGAAAGAUGAAAAGCACUUUGAAAAGAGAGUGAAAAAGUACGUGAAAUUGUUGAAAGGGAAGGGCUUGCAAGCAGACACUUAACUGGGCCAGCAUCGGGGCGGCGGGGAGCAAAACCACCGGGGAAUGUACCUUUCGAGGAUUAUAACCCCGGCCCUUACUCCCACACCACCCCGAGGCCU